UACGUAGGGGGCAAGCGUUGUCCGGAUUUAUUGGGCGUAAAGAGCGUGUAGGCGGCCGGACAAGUCCGUUGUGAAAACUAGAGGCUUAACCUCUAGACGUCGAUGGAAACUGUUUGGCUAGAGUCCGGAAGAGGAGAAUGGAAUUCCUGGUGUAGCGGUGAAAUGCGCAGAUAUCAGGAAGAACACCUAUGGCGAAGGCAGCUCUCUGGGACGGUACUGACGCUGAGACGCGAAAGCGUGGGGAGCGAACAGG
rnacentral:rRNA from 1 species